GUGCUCGCUUCGGCAGCACGUAGACUAACAUUGGAACGACGCAGAGAACAUUAGCAUGGCCCCUGCGCAAGGAUGACGCGCACAUUCGGGUAAGCGUUCCAUCUUAAA